rnacentral:rRNA from 1 species
AUACGGAGCCGUAGCGAAAGCGAGUCUGAAUAGGGCGUAUAGUUAGGUUGAGUAGACGCGAAACCGAGUGAUCUACCCAUGGGCAGGUUGAAGCUGUGGUAACACACAGUGGAGGACCGAACCAGUUGACGUUGAAAAGUCUUUGGAUGACCUGUGGGUAGGGGUGAAAGGCCAAUCAAACUGGGAAAUAGCUCGUACUCCCCGAAAUGCAUUUAGGUGCAGCGUUGAGUAAAAGUUUUAUAGAGGUAGAGCUACUGAUUGGAUGCGGGGGCUUCACCGCCUACCAAUUCCUGACAAACUCCGAAUGCUAUAAAAUGAUGAUCAGCAGUGAGGGCAUGGGUGCUAAGGUCCAUGUCCGAGAGGGAAAGAACCCAGACCAUCAGCUAAGGUCCCAAAAUGUAUACUAAGUUGAAAAAACGCGGUUGAACUGCAUAGACAGCUAGGAUGUUGGCUUGGAAGCAGCCAUUCAUUUAAAGAGUGCGUAACAGCUCACU